rnacentral:siRNA from 1 species
UGUCUUAUGUGGCGUAUACUUUAU